rnacentral:rRNA from 1 species
AUUGAACGCUGGCGGCAUGCCUAACACAUGCAAGUCGAACGAGACCUUCGGGUCUAGUGGCGCACGGGUGCGUAACGCGUGGGAACCUGCCUUUAGGUUCGGAAUAACUCAGAGAAAUUUGAGCUAAUACCGGAUGAUGUCUUCGGACCAAAGAUUUAUCGCCUUUAGAUGGGCCCGCGUUGGAUUAGCUAGUUGGUGGGGUAAAGGCCUACCAAGGCGACGAUCCAUAGCUGGUCUGAGAGGACGAUCAGCCACACUGGGACUGAGACACGGCCCAGACUCCUACGGGAGGCAGCAGUGGGGAAUUUUGGACAAUGGGCGAAAGCCUGACGGAGCAAUACCGCGUGAGGGAAGACUGCCUAUGGGUUGUAAACCUCUUUUUUCUAGGGAGGAAUAAAAUGACGUGUACCUGAAGAAUAAGCAUCGGCUAACUCCGUG